UACGUAGGGUGCAAGCGUUGUCCGGAAUUAUUGGGCGUAAAGAGCUCGUAGGCGGUUUGUCGCGUCUGCCGUGAAAGUCCGAGGCUCAACUUCGGAUCUGCGGUGGGUACGGGCAGACUAGAGUGAUGUAGGGGAGACUGGAAUACUUGGUGUAGCAGUGAAAUGCGUAGAUAUCAAGUGGAACACCAGUGGCGAAGGCGAGUCUCUGGACAUUUCCUGACGCUGAGGCACGAAAGCCAGGGGAGCAAACGGGG
rnacentral:rRNA from 1 species